rnacentral:lncRNA from 1 species
GCAUCUUGUAAUGCUCACCAUUCAAAUCUAGUCAUUGUUGAAAGCAAGGAAGAAGAGAUAUUCUUAAGGAACACAUCAAUGACAUUAAAAAGAGGUAAACAUUUAAAAAAAAAACUGAAUCUUAUAUAAAAAAAGUAUACACAAAAAUUCCCCUGUCUUCUUUGUUGAGUUUUUCAUUAAAAAGAUUGUUUUCAUAACAGCAAAUAAAGCUUUUAAAUUUGGCACAACUUUUUGGAAUUUUGGGUUCUCAAAGCUCUUCAACUUUGUAAUUGUUUGCCUUUAUAACUAUUUUGAUCUGAGCGUCACUGAUGAGUCUUGUGCAGAAGAAACGCGCGUAUGACGUAUUAAAUUGUAAUCCUGGUACCUUUAAUUUUGAUAACAAUUAUUACAGAAAUCGUUUUACACAACGGCACUUCAUGUUUUCAUUUAUACAAAAUAUAUUUUCUUACAAUCCCGAAAAACUUACAUGUAAAAUUGUUUAAGUGGUUACCAACUUAUAUAUUUUCUGUGAACAUGUUUUCUUCUUCUUCGGAAUAUUGCAACAAUGGAAUUAAUACACACACAUGUACUCAUAUGCCGGUUUUUUUCUGUGUUAUCAUUGAUAUAUAAAAAGAAAAUGUGGUAUGAUUGCCAAUGAGACAACUAUCCACAAAAGACCAAAUUGACACAGACAUUAACAACUAUAGGUCACCGUACGGCCUUCAACAAUGAGCAAAGCCCAUACCGCAUAGUCAGCUAUAAAAAGCCCCGAUAGGACAAUGUAAAACAAUUCAAACGAGAAAACUAACGGCCUUAUUGGUAUUGAUAUGUUCAUAAUAAUAAAUUAAAUGUUAACAAAACUUUGGGCGUAAAUAUAAAAUUUCAAUCCUGGUAUCUGUGAUGAGUUUAUUUCUUCUUUUCAUUAUUGUAUUGCAAUGUGUCGUCAUGGCAUGCAAAAACAUUUUGAUAUCGCAGUUUGUUCGUUGCACUAUCAUUUUCUAGAAUGACGGACAUGCCAGUUUUGGCUUUAUUCAUGGUAGGUUAAGCAAUGCAGUUUCCAAUGACAACACACAAUUUCAAUGUAUUUAUUUUCAACAUACCUUUUAUCAUGAUGCAAUAAAUUAGAUAAUGAUGAGAAUGAUGAUAAUGAAUACAAAGCUGUUGAUUAAGAUGUAUUGCAUUAUCUGGAUUUACAGCGUUAUUUAUUACAAUUUUUUUUUAAAUGAAGUAUGACUGCCAAUGAGUAAACUAUCCAUACAAACUAUGAUGUGAACAAUUAAUCUUAAUGGUCACCAUAUGGUUAUCAGAAAUGGAGGGAAAACAUAUAUUAUAUCGUAAGCAAUAGAAAUAUUCUCGAGAUGAAAAUAUGCAUUUACAAUUCAAAAGAGCUUAUAACAGGCACAUGAAAAAUGUGGCGGGGUAACACAUAAUAUUGGCUCCUCAACUCAACCCUGACAUCGGUCAGUGAUGUAACAACAAAACAUAAAAACAAACUGUAUACAUGUACAUAUCAGGUGAAAGGGGCUUGAUUCAUCAGAUCAGUGCUUAGUACAAACAAUGACAAACAGACCAAGAUAAAAGACACAAAGUUAAGAUCUUAGAGAACUGUCAGUAACAGAAAGCUAGUACAAAGCUCAAUGUCAACUAAUAUGUAAAUCAAUAAGUAUUUUCCCCAACCUUCAAAAUGAACAAAAAUCAGUUAUGGAUAACCUAAUCAUAGAUGCCAGGAUUGAAAUUUUGUAUUGCGCCAGACGUGCGUUUGGUCUACAGACUCAUUAGUGACGCUAGAAUAAAAAAAAGUAAGUGAAACGACAAAAUAAAGUACGAAGCUAACCACAAAUUCCUAAAGGUUUUGUAAAAUACAGCUAAGGUAAUCUAUUCCUGAGGUAGCAAGCCUUAGUAUUUAAAAAAAAUAGUCCGGUUUUCAUUGACUUCAUCAUUUUUAAAUGUACACUGAGCCUAAUUUUGUUAUUUCAUUUUAAAAAGCCAUUGUUCGUGCAGAUUAAGACAAUAUUCAACUUGAACGAUCUUUCUAUGUGUUUAUAUGUAUUUAUGAAAAAAGUUUACUUUUUUUAAUUCUAAGGCCUAGGAUAACGAUAUGUGGAAUUCUAAUAUUCUAUAUAUUGGACUAUAUUUGAUUUUCUUGUGUUAAGGAUUCUGGUUGGACGCAACUGAUGAUGUGGUUGAAGGGUACUGGAAAUGGGCAACAACAGAGGCAAAUUUGACUUAUACUGACUGGUAUCCAGGGUAACCUAGUAACGGUGGUAGCACACACAAUGAAGACUGUGCACAUAUAUAUCCGGGUCUAAGUUACAGAUGGAAUGACAUCCAUUGCACUUAUGAAGAAUAUUUCAUUUGUGAGGACGAGUAAGUUUUAUGUGUAGUGGAAACAAUUACUCUUAUACAUUUUUAUGCAGCUAUCCCAUCGUUAAGUUUGUGAUAAAUGUACAAAACAACUACUCUAUACAUUUGCAGCGAUCCCAUCGUUAAGUUUGUGAUAAAUGUAAAAAAACAACUACUCUAUACAUUUGCAGCGAUCCCAUCGUUAAGUUUGUGAUAAAUGUACAAAACAACUACUCUAUACAUUUGCAGCGAUCCCAUCGUUAAGUUUGUGAUAAAUGUAAAAAAACAACUGCUCUAUACAUUUGCAGCGAUCCCAUCGUUAAGUUUGUGAUAAAUGUACAAAACGACUACUCUAUACAUAUGCAGCGAUCCACCGUGAAGUUUGUGAUAAAUGUACAAAACAACUACUCUAUACAUAUGCAGCGAUCCCAUCGUUAAGUUUGUGAUAAAUGUACAAAACAACUACUCUAUACAUAUGCAGCGAUCCAUCGUUAAGUUUGUGAUAAAUGUACAAAACGACUACUCUAUACAUAUGCAGCGAUCCACCGUGAAGUUUGUGAUAAAUGUACAAAACAACUACUCUAUACAUAUGCAGCGAUCCCAUCGUUAAGUUUGUGAUAAAUGUACAAAACAACUACUCUAUACAUAUGCAGCGAUCCCAUCGUUAACUUCAAUGCAUUAUUACAGCGAUGUUGUAACAAAUGGUCACCUUAACGUUAAACUAUACCAUUCAUUAGUGUUCUUUGUUCACUGUGUUGUCUUUAACCGUGAUGCCACUAUACUUACGUGUAGUAAAUAAAUGAUAAGGUUUACUAUAAUUUCUUCUUUUACUUCUACUUAGACUACUUAUAUUAUUAUUAAUAAUUCUACCAAAUUGAAGGAUAACAGUUUAAAAAAAAUUAGUUGUAAUCAAUCGAUUAUUUUUUGUAGGUAUCCAGGAGAUGGCGAUAAUAUCAUUGGC